rnacentral:rRNA from 1 species
GACGAACGCUGGCGGCGUGCUUAACACAUGCAAGUCGAACGUGAUUUUUGUGGAAAUUCUUUCGGGAAUGGAAAUGAAAUGAAAGUGGCGAACGGGUGAGUAACACGUGAGCAACCUACCUUACACAGGGGGAUAGCCGUUGGGAACGACGAUUAAUACCGCAUGAGACCACAGAAUCGCAUGAUAUAGGGGUCAAAGAUUUAUCGGUGUAAGAAGGGCUCGCGUCUGAUUAGCUAGUUGGAAGGGUAAAGGCCUACCAAGGCGACGAUCAGUAGCCGGUCUGAGAGGAUGAACGGCCACAUUGGAACUGAGACACGGUCCAAACUCCUACGGGAGGCAGCAGUGGGGAAUAUUGCACAAUGGGGGGAAACCCCUGAUGCAGC